UCCUACUUAUACUUCUCCCUAAUACUGGGACACACAAAUCCCCUCUUGAAGCUUAGGGCUACAAUUUUCUUCAUCGUCUGAUAAUCCUCAGUUUAUAUUUUCUCUAGUUAUUUUUGUUAACUGGAAACAAAGCCUGUUAACACUAACAUGUGUUAGUCCAUUAGUGAAAGUUUUCACAUAUUUAUUCAGUUAGUUUGAGCUGAUAAAGACAACUUUGGAAAUUUUUCCUUUGUUCCUGAAAAUAACAAAUAUGAAGAACCCCCACUUGCUGGUUUCUACAAUAGAUUCCGGCACUUUUAAAAUUGAACAUAAAGUGUUUUCCAUUGAGGCUCUACACUGGAAAGCAAAUUAUUUGAUGAGCAUGUGUUUCUUAAAGCAAACAAAUGAUGUGACAGUGCUAACUAGCCUGUACAUAUUUUUCCUUAGUGCGUGUUAAUCAAUUUGCCUACUGGAUAUAUAAAAUAUAUGUGAUGGUUAAUACUGAGUGUCAACUUGGAUUAGAUUGAAGGAUGCAAAUUAUUGAUCCUGGAUGUGUCUGUGAGGGUGUUGCCAAAGAAGAUUAACAUUUGAGUCAGUGGACUGGGACAGGCAGACCCACCUACCAGCUGGGUGGGCACCUUCUAUUCAGCUGCCAGCAAAUAUAAAGCAGGCAGAAAAACUUGAAAAGGCUAGACUGGCUUAGCCUCCCAGCCUACAUCUUUCUCCCAUUCUAGAUGCUUCCUGUCCUUGAACAUCAGACUUCAAGUUCUUCAGUUUUGGGACUUGGACUGGCCCCUUGCUCCUCAGCUUCCCAAUGGCCUACUGUGGGACCUUGUGAUCAUAAGCUGACAAACGGUUUAUAUCAGAAGGUGGAAUCGUGGGUAUGGUCGAUGUGGCAGGUCCUAAACAUAAAUUGGGCUUCCGAGUGUCAAAUUGCAUCUGGUGAAGACUGAAGACUUCUAUCCUGGAAUGUCUUUGACCUCACUUGCCAUUUGCAGUGAAGAUUUAUCAGCUCCAAAUGGAAAGGAAUGGGAAUUGAUUGUGAAGGCAAACAUCAGGCUGUUAUCCUGAAAGAGAAGCAAAACAGACCUAACUCCAAGAGAAAAUUUUGCCCAAAUGUUGUAAAGCACAAAGAAAAAUACCCAGAUUGUUUCCUUUUUAUAUUCCAAAUCAUUGACAAAACUGAAAAUGUCUUUCUUUUCCUUUUCCUUUUUGUGACUAUACUAGUCACAAAAAUCUAAUAGCUUUCUAAUUUAUCUCAUUUGAUAUUAUCUCAUCAUUAGAAGUUUUGGAAACUUUGGAAAUGGCACUAGAAUCUCAUUUAAAAAAUUAAUGCAGACUCAUUGUUAAAUAAGAUGAACUGACUACAUGAAUUUAACUUAUCUUCAAACCCAAUAAAAAUGUCACAAAAGAAUUAAAAAAAUUAACUUCCCAGGAAAAAGACAAUUAGAUAUGAAAUAAGAGCAUAGGAAAAUUUCAAUUAUCUUUGGAAGACAGAGAGUGGAAAGAAUAAUCAUUUAAAAAUCACAUAGCAGAAAAAGUUAGUCUAAUUAUUUGCCAAAGAAUUCCAAUGAGAAUCAAGUUAUCAGUUCCUGAAAAAAGACGUGUGGAAGUGGACUUAACAAAAGAGUAGAAUUGGUUGAAAAUUCAUAUAUAAAAGGCAGAGACAGUCAGAUUCCCAUCUGCAUCCCAGGAAGCCAGGCAACUGUGAUGCCAUCCCCCAAGGUUAGAGCGAAAUGUUUGUAGAAAUUGAACCAAUCAGGCCCUGGAUACUGGGAAAUCAGGUUUUAGUCAGGUAUAGAUAUGAGGAACUGGAUUGUACACCAGAGAAAUUAGGAGUAAAGUUACUCCAGAUUAGGUUGCCUGAUAAUUUGGUGGCUGAUUGUUAAAAUCCAGUCUCUGCUAAGGCCAGAAUCAAGCUGAAAGCUUUGUUUCAAAAGGAGAGUAUUUAUCAUCCGAGAAUGGCAGAAAUUUGCCCCAAAAUGUGAAGAGUCUGCACUGCUAUUCACCAAGGGGCCUGCUAAAAAUCUCCAAGCAGCACCUCCCUCCGGCACUGACGCUUCACACAUCAUCAAAUCUGAUGGACAACAUGAUGCAUAUGGUAGUCUUCUCUUAUUUGGGCCCCUGUUCAAAAGUAGCUUUUGGGGUCAGUUGGAAAUGGACCAAAGUAGGACACCCAGUGAGGAAUAAAUUGCCUCCAAAAUCAAAGGGGCCCACCAGGAAUUGUUCCUUGUUUUUUUUCAUAAUAGGGGCCAGAUGUAACAUGCUCUGUCCCAUUUGACCCCUAGAAGUUUAACUGGAUAAAUGUUCUCUGAUUUGUGUGUGUGUGUGUGUGUGUGUUUAUUCCCUAGACUCUGGCACACAAAUAUCUUUCCAAUUAAUCUAGAGUAGUUGCUAUUUCUUGUUCACUAUGUCUAAUCCACAUACAAUGUCA
rnacentral:lncRNA from 1 species